rnacentral:rRNA from 1 species
UACUUAGGGUGCGAGCGUUAAUCGGCAUUACUGGGCGUAAAGCGUGCGCAGGCGGUUUUGUAAGCCAGAUGUGAAAUCCCCGGGCUUAACCUGGGAAUGGCAUUUGGGACUGCAAGGCUUGAGUUUGGCAGAGGAGACUGGAAUUCCUGGUGUAGCAGUGAAAUGCGUAGAUAUCAGGAGGAAUACCGAUGGCGAAGGCAGGUCUCUGGGCUAGAACUGACGCUCAUGCACGAAAGCGUGGGGAGCAAACAGG